AACCGCUGAGAAAAUUUCGGCUAUUGAUUUGAGAUUUUUUACGAAGUCAUUUUUGCUGUACCUCGUUCUGUAAGUCCAAGUAAUACCUAAGUUUUUUGAGCACUACAUUGAUUUCAACAUGCACUACGAGGAAUAUCAGCAUGUCUACUACUACUGGUAAAGUAAAAUUCUUUAACGAAGCUAAAGGCUUCGGUUUCAUCGAACAAGAAAACGGCGCAGACGUUUUCGUACAUUUCAGCGCUAUUCAGUCUGACGGUUUUAAAACUCUGGCAGAAGGCCAGCAAGUUUCUUUCACCGUAGCUCAAGGCCCUAAAGGUCCACAAGCUGAAAACGUAGUUCCUAUGUAAGGAACCUUCUGUACCCUUUCGGGUGCCGAACGUUUAUACAAAGAAUUUAAAAACGUCGCUUUUAGCGGCGUUUUUUUA
rnacentral:sRNA from 1 species